rnacentral:rRNA from 1 species
UACGGGGGGGGCAAGCGUUGUUCGGAAUUACUGGGCGUAAAGGGCUCGUAGGCGGCCAACUAAGUCGGACGUGAAAUCCCCAGGCUUAACCUGGGAACUGCAUCCGAUACUGGAUGGCUUGAAUCCGGGAGAGGGAUGCGGAAUUCCAGGUGUAGCGGUGAAAUGCGUAGAUAUCUGGAGGAACACCGGUGGCGAAGGCGGCAUCCUGGACCGGCAUUGACGCUGAGGAGCGAAAGCCAGGGGAGCAAACAGG